rnacentral:rRNA from 1 species
AAAUUGAAGAGUUUGAUCAUGGCUCAGAUUGAACGCUGGCGGCAGGCCUAACACAUGCAAGUCGAACGGUAACAGGAAGCAGCUUGCUGCUUUGCUGACGAGUGGCGGACGGGUGAGUAAUGUCUGGGAAACUGCCCGAUGGAGGGGGAUAACUACUGGAAACGGUGGCUAAUACCGCAUAACGUCGCAAGACCAAAGAGGGGGACCUUCGGGCCUCUUGCCAUCAGAUGUGCCCAGAUGGGAUUAGCUUGUUGGUGAGGUAACGGCUCACCAAGGCGACGAUCCCUAGCUGGUCUGAGAGGAUGACCAGCCACACUGGAACUGAGACACGGUCCAGACUCCUACGGGAGGCAGCAGUGGGGAAUAU